rnacentral:rRNA from 1 species
UCCAGACUCCUACGGGAGGCAGCAGUGAGGAAUAUUGGUCAAUGGGCGGGAGCCUGAACCAGCCAUGCCGCGUGAAGGCGAGUGCCCUACGGGCGUUAAACUUCUUUUGUGCGGGAGCAAUAAGGGCCACGUGUGGCCCGAUGAGAGUACCGCACGAAUAAGCAUCGGCUAACUCCGUGCCAGCAGCCGCGGUAAUACGGGGGAUGCGAGCGUUAUCCGGAUUUAUUGGGUUUAAAGGGUGCGUAGGCGGAUUUUUAAGUCAGCGGUAAAAUGUCCGGGCUCAACCCGGGCCGGCCGUUGAAACUGGGGAUCUUGAGUGGGCGAGAAGUAUGCGGAAUGCGUGGUGUAGCGGUGAAAUGCAUAGAUAUCACGCAGAACUCCGAUUGCGAAGGCAGCAUACCGGCGCCCGACUGACGCUGAGGCACGAAAGCGUGGGGAUCGAACAGGAUUAGAUACCCCAGUA